rnacentral:rRNA from 1 species
AAUAUUCCUGUACUUGGUGUUACUGCGAAGGGGGGACGGAGAAGGCUAUGUUGGCCGGGCGACGGUUGUCCCGGUUUAAGCGUGUAGGCUGGUUUUCCAGGCAAAUCCGGAAAAUCAAGGCUGAGGCGUGAUGACGAGGCACUACGGUGCUGAAGCGACAAAUGCCCUGCUUCCAGGAAAAGCCUCUAAGCAUCAGGUAACAUUAAAUCGUACCCCAAACCGACACAGGUGGUCAGGUAGAGAAUACCAAGGCGCUUGAGAGAACUCGGGUGAAGGAACUAGGCAAAAUGGUGCCGUAACUUCGGGAGAAGGCACGCUGAUAUGUAGGUGAAGCGACUUGCUCGUGGAGCUGAAAUCAGUCGAAGAUACCAGCUGGCUGCAACUGUUUAUUAAAAACACAGCACUGUGCAAACACGAAAGUGGACGUAUACGGUGUGACGCCUGCCCGGUGCCGGAAGGUUAAUUGAUGGGGUUAGCGGUAACGCGAAGCUCUUGAUCGAAGCCCCGGUAAACGGCGGCCGUAACUAUAACGGUCCUAAGGUAGCGAAAUUCCUUGUCGGGUAAGUUCCGACCUGCACGAAUGGCGUAAUGAUGGCCAGGCUGUCUCCACCCGAGACUCAGUGAAAUUGAACUCGCUGUGAAGAUGCAGUGUACCCGCGGCAAGACGGAAAGACCCCGUGAACCUUUACUAUAGCUUGACACUGAACAUUGAGCCUUGAUGUGUAGGAUAGGUGGGAGGCUUUGAAGUGUGGACGCCAGUCUGCAUGGAGCCGACCUUGAAAUACCACCCUUUAAUGUUUGAUGUUCUAACGUGGGCCCCUUACCGGGGUUGCGGACAGUGUCUGGUGGGUAGUUUGACUGGGGCGGUCUCCUCCUAAAGAGUAACGGAGGAGCACGAAGGUUGGCUAAUCCUGGUCGGACAUCAGGAGGUUAGUGCAAUGGCAUAAGCCAGCUUGACUGCGAGCGUGACGGCGCGAGCAGGUGCGAAAGCAGGUCAUAGUGAUCCGGUGGUUCUGAAUGGAAGGGCCAUCGCUCAACGGAUAAAAGGUACUCCGGGGAUAACAGGCUGAUACCGCCCAAGAGUUCAUAUCGACGGCGGUGUUUGGCACCUCGAUGUCGGCUCAUCACAUCCUGGGGCUGAAGUAGGUCCCAAGGGUAUGGCUGUUCGCCAUUUAAAGUGGUACGCGAGCUGGGUUUAGAACGUCGUGAGACAGUUCGGUCCCUAUCUGCCGUGGGCGCUGGAGAACUGAGGGGGGCUGCUCCUAGUACGAGAGGACCGGAGUGGACGCAUCACUGGUGUUCGGGUUGUCAUGCCAAUGGCACUGCCCGGUAGCUAAAUGCGGAAGAGAUAAGUGCUGAAAGCAUCUAAGCACGAAACUUGCCCCGAGAUGAGUUCUCCCUGA